GACGAACGCUGGCGGCGUGCUUAACACAUGCAAGUCGAACGGAAAGGCCCUGCUUUUGUGGGGUUCUCGAGUGGCGAACGGGUGAGUAACACGUGAGUAACCUGCCCUUGUCUUUGGGAUAACUUCAGGAAACUGGGGCUAAUACCGGAUAUGAGCUCCUGCUGCAUGGUGGGGGUUGGAAAGUUUCGGCGGUUGGGUAUGGACUCGCGGCUUAUCCGCUUGUUGGUGGGGUAGUGGCUUACCAAGGCUUUGACGGGUAGCCGGCCUGAGAGGGUUACCGGCGACAUUGGGACUGAGAUAGGGCCCAGAAUCCUACGGGAGGCAGUAGUGGGGAAUAUUGCACAAUGGGCGGAAGCCUGAUGCAGCAACCCCGCGUGCGUAAUGACGGCCUUCGGGUUGUAAACCGCUUUCGCCUGUGACGAACCGUUAGUGACGGUAAUGGGUAAGGAAGCCCCGGCUAACUACGUG
rnacentral:rRNA from 1 species